rnacentral:misc_RNA from 1 species
UGCACAAGUCGCGAAGAAAACAACAUUUUAGUGGUCAAUUUCAUGCGGCUGGUCCGCGUGAAGGUUUUUUUGUAAAGGACUAUUUUAUCAUUUGAAGGGGUUUUAAUAACCAUGUCUGAAGCUGAGUCGGUUCGGGUGGCAGUGAGGGUCCGUCCUUUCAAUCAAAGGGAGAAGGACCAUGGAGCCAAAUUAAUUAUUGAUAUGCAAGGACAGCUUACAACAAUUAAAAACCCAGAGACACCUAGUGAGGAACCAAAAAAGUUUUCCUUUGACUUUUCUUACUGGUCUCAUGAUGGAUUUACUGAGAGAGCUGACGGGGUGCUGGAGCCGACAGCUGGUUCUAAAUACGCUAGCCAACCCAUUGUUUUCAAGGAUUUGGGCCAGGGGGUACUGGACAAUGCCUUUGAAGGUUACAACUGCUCUCUAUUUGCCUAUGGUCAGACGGGCUCUGGGAAGUCGUAUUCUAUGGUGGGAUAUGGGAAUAAUAAGGGUAUUGUUCCAAUGACCUGUGACAAACUCUUUCAAGCAGUGAAUAAUAAUAGUGAUCCCAACAAGAGGUUUGAGGUCUCCUUCUCUAUGUUAGAGAUUUACAAUGAGCAGGUGAGAGAUCUUUUGUCCAAAGACAAACCAAAAGGUGGCCUUCCAGUCAGGCAGAACCCCAAGAUGGGCUUUUUCUAUGUCCAGGGAUUAAAGAGGGCUCCAGUAGGCAGUUAUGAGGAUAUUGAAGCACAGAUUGAUAAAGGCACUGCCAAUAGAACCGUGGCGUCCACCAACAUGAAUGCCACCAGUAGUCGCGCCCACACCGUGGUCACCAUCACCUUUGACCAGAUCAUCAAGGACCCCACUGGACAGGAGAAGAAGAAAAGCAGUGAGAUGAACUUGGUGGAUUUGGCAGGUUCUGAGAGGGCCGAAAGCACAGGAGCAACAGGAGACAGACUGAAAGAGGGCGCCAACAUCAACAAAUCACUGUCUGCUCUUGGGAACGUCAUUUCUGCUCUGGCUGAUUUGUCCAUGGGGAAGAAGAAGGUGAUGGUGCCUUACAGAGACUCUGUCCUCACCAAACUACUGCAGAAUGCACUCGGAGGAAACAGUAAAACCAUCAUGAUAGCUGCCCUGUCCCCAGCUGAUAUAAACUAUGAUGAGACGUUAAGUACGCUGAGGUACGCUGACAGAGCGAAAAAGAUCAAAAACAAGGCUGUCAUCAAUGAAAACCCCAUGGACAAGUUGAUCAGAGAGUUAAAGGAAGAGAAUGAGCGUCUGAAGAAACAGAUGGAAGGUGGCGGUGGUCCCAUAGCAGGUGGUGUUGGCAUGACUGCGGAAGAAAUUGAGAAAUACAAAGAAGAAAUCAGACUGGAGAUGGAAGAAAAUAUGAAAAAGAUGGGAGGCAUGAGUUGGGAUGAACAGGUGAAACAGAGCAGACAGGAGGCCGAGACAGAUUCGGGAGGAAAGGCAACCUCCAACAAAAAGAGUACAGUUUCCCACUUUGUCAAUCUGAAUGAAGACCCCAUGCUCUCUAGCAAAGUCUACUACUUUCUUGAGAAACCAGAGGUCACAAUUGGACGCAAAGAUGCCGAGCCCAUGCCAGAUAUCUGUCUCAGUGGAUUGAGCAUAAUGAAACAGCAUGCUGUCGUCACUAACUCUGGAGGUGAUUAUGAAAUCAAGCCUGGCGCCAAGGGGGCCAAGAUCAAAGUGAAUGGAAUGCCUCUGACGGGACCGCGCCCCCUGGCACACAAAGACAGGGUGUUGUUCGGCUCCAAUCACAUGUACGUGUUCUACAAUGCACAGAAACCCAACGCCCCUGAGGGCACACCCCCGGAUUCAAAACUAGACUGGGAGUUUGCUCAGAAGGAGAUUGCUCAGGCUAAAGGUUUUGCUACUGGAUCUGGUGCAGGAUUAUCCAAAGAACAACAGAUCGCCCAGGAGCAAGUGUUGGAGAUUUUGCCGAUGGUGACAGAAGUCAAUGCUAUCUCUGAGGAGCUGGAUAAACACAGGUCCUUCGAGGUUGUUCUUAUUUCCUCGGCAGCACAAGAGGGAGGUGUGGCUGGUAACAAGGGAACUUCUGGUGAAGCUGGGAUCAGAGUGAUGGUGAAAAUGAAGAACCUGUUGAAUGGAAACACUUGGUUGUGGGAGAGAGGGAAGUUCAUGAACAGACGAUAUCUGGCUCAGGAGCUCUACCAGAGGUUCCUGGAUGGAGAAGACGCUGCCGUCAAAAACCUGCCAAAGGAGGAAGAUCCAUUCUGGGAGCCAACGGAGGAUGUUCUCAUUGGAACAGCCAAUGUAUUUCUCCAGUCCCUGGGUUACGCCCUGGACUUCGAGGACACGCUGACCGUGACAGACUACAAGGGCCAGGAGGAAGGCACCAUCAUGGUAGUUGUGGCUCCAUGUAAUGCUAAAGGAAAUGACUUGGAUGACGAUUCCUUUGUGGAUUCUCCCGAGGAUUUACUUGGGAAACCUUACCAUUAUAAGGUAACUGUACAAAAAGCCGAAGUUCACAAAGCAAGGUUCUCCAAGGGAGUACGAAUCAAGUACAAAGUCCCAACCGUUCAAGGCGAAACUGAAGAAUACACUGAGACCCCAAUGGUCCGAGGGUCCCUCAGUCCUGUGUUCAACCACAGUAAAGUUUUCUCAAUACCAGUUAUAACACAGGAACAUUUAGAUAACUUUGAAACCAAGUGUAUCACUCUUAUGAUGUAUGGGCUGCAAGAGGAUUCCACACCUGAUCCCAAACUUAUGAAAAUGACAACAAAGGAAUUACGUCAGAUGGAAAACAUGACCAGUCCUCAGUCAGAGAUGCACAGGCGGAAUACCACGUUUGGUCUGGACCCAGAACGAGACCAGAGCGCUCUCUUGAAGUCUGAGUACCAGUUGGUUCUGAGGAAAUAUGAACGGCUGGAACAGAAGGAACGGAGAUUACAGCAAAUGUGUGAGGAAUGGGGCAACAAAAAACCAGAAGAACAAGACUUUUUGGCAUUCCACCGGGCAGUUCACGCCCUAGCCCACAGCACUGGGACCAAACUCAAGACCAGGGUCCAGAUGUUGAAUAAGAUGUUGAAGGGGUAUAAGAUGGCCCAGGUAGCUACAGAACUGUUCUUGCAAUUUCACCUAUCUCUUGUAUGGCUUAUAGUAUAUUACUGAGCAAGAUUUAGAAAAAAAAUAGGAAAGUUGCUCUGUGCGUGCCUUCCUCAUCAGAAAAAAAAAAACUAUUCAGGACCGAAUUUGAACAGUUUGAAAUGAAAUGAAAUAUGUAUAUUUUAUUAUUCUGAACUAUUUCACUCCUGUUCACAAAAGUGCAUUAGGUUCACAAAAGUGCAAUAGAAUUAUAGAAUGUUAAUAAAAUUUUGAAAUUAUAAAAUUUAAGUUGAUGUAUUUUCUUGAAAUAAUAUAAUUUGUCAGUUCAAUCCUACAAUGUGAGGAAAGUUGAAGAAGCCUUGCACUGAGCUUUGCCUGUCUUAUAAAGCUUACAUACCAAAGUAUUAUAGUCUAUUACAACGCUUGUACUAGUAGGCAGAAAAAUACACCUUCAGUCUGUAGGCUGUCAGAAGCUUCUAUGAGCAUUUUCUCACUUUUUCUCAAGCUGUGUGACAUUUCACAUUGUUAUUUCAUGUUGAUUUGACUAACAGUACUGUUAUGUUUUUGUUUUUUUUUUUAUUUCACAUUUUGUUCUAACACACUAGGUUAUACAAGCACACAAGACCUAUGAAGCUAACUCCUCUGAGAAUUUACUCCAGGCUCAG